UAAGAAAUUUGUAGGUGUGUGUGUCUAGGAGGUUAUAGGAAAAUGGACAAGUUAUGGAGAAAGUGGAAGGUGUAUGUCUAAUGAAAAGUUCUGUUAAUAAAAAUAAAAUGAUGUCUGCAUGCUGAUGUAUGUCUGAUUAUAAUAGAGAAGUUUGGGGUGAUAUGAGAAAGGGUACACAAAAUGGGAAGAAUAAAUAGAAAGGUGAAGGUUUCACAGCAGAUUAUGAGAAAAGGGAUAAAAGGUGUGUGUGGUAAACAUGGAGAAAGCUGAAGGUGUGGGGGGAUAUUAGAAAAGGGACAGGUUUUUUUUGGGGUGGGGGGGAGAUUUGGAGAAGGCAGAAGGUGUGGGAGCAGAAUAUGAGGAGAGGGCCGGAAACAGGUAGGUGUGUGUGUGUGUGUGGGGGAGGGGAUAUUUGAACAGCGCUAUGGAAUUUGCUGGCACUAUAUGAAUAAAUAAUAAUAAAGGAACAGUUUUUUUGGGGGGGAGGAUUUGAAAAAAGCAGAAGGUGUAGGGGUAGAAUAUGAGAAAUUGGUGGUAAAAUAUGUACAGACGGACAGCAAGUGGGGGGUAGUAUCUGGAGAGAAGGACACUAGGGGAGUAUGGAAAGAGAAACACCACUGGAGGAAGGGACAAUGUGGGAAGAUGCUCACAGAGGGGCUGGGGGAGGGGAUAAUGAGACACACGGGGAGUUGUGAACAGAGUGACACGCAGAGUGGCUGUGGAAGGGGGAAAAGAGAAACGCAAAGGGGUUGGGGGCAAAAACACAGAGAGGCUCGGGAAGAGGGCAAUGACAGAGAGGGGCUGAGAAGUGAAUAACAACACACACGAAGGGGCUAAGAAUGGGAUAAUGACACACAGAGGGGCUGGAGAAGUGGACAAUGAUACACAUAGAGGAGCUAGGGUAGGAGACUGACAGGAAUAAAAGGAACAUUUGUUUGUUUAAGAACAUUUUGAAAACUUACCUGGGGUUUGCUGGGGCCUCCUCUGCAGCCAGAAGCUCUACCACACAUCUAAGUUCAGUAGUACAGAGCCACAUUUAUUGGCCAUAUGCCAGACCUGCUCAGCAGGAUGUAACUCAGUGGGGCUGAAGGAGUCUGUGACAGGUGCCCGUGACAGGUGCCCGGCAGACCCCAUUUAAGUUGUCAAACUGUUCUUAAAUGGUUUGACUAUUUACUCUUCGAGGGUACCUGGGCACUCCUGCCACCAUAACUACUGAAGAUGGUUAUUGUAC